UGGGGAAUAUUGCACAAUGGGCGCAAGCCUGAUGCAGCCAUGCCGCGUGUAUGAAGAAGGCCUUCGGGUUGUAAAGUACUUUCAGCGGGGAGGAAGGCGAUAAGGUUAAUAACCUUGUCGAUUGACGUUACCCGCAGAAGAAGCACCGGCUAACUCCGUGCCAGCAGCCGCGGUAAUACGGAGGGUGCAAGCGUUAAUCGGAAUUACUGGGCGUAAAGCGCACGCAGGCGGUCUGUCAAGUCAGAUGUGAAAUCCCCGGGCUCAACCUGGGAACUGCAUUAGAAACUGGCAGGCUAGAGUCUUGUAGAGGGGGGUAGAAUUCCAGGUGUAGCGGUGAAAUGCGUAGAGAUCUGGAGGAAUACCGGUGGCGAAGGCGGCCCCCUGGACAAAGACUGACGCUCAGGUGCGAAAGCGUGGAGAGCAAACA
rnacentral:rRNA from 1 species